GAUGAACGCUGGCGGCGUGCCUAAUACAUGCAAGUCGAGCGAACGGACGAGAAGCUUGCUUCUCUGAUGUUAGCGGCGGACGGGUGAGUAACACGUGGAUAACCUACCUAUAAGACUGGGCUAACUUCGGGAAACCGGAGCUAAUACCGGAUAAUAUUUUGAACCGCAUGGUUCAAAAGUGAACGCCGGUCUUGCUGUCACCUAUAGAUGGAUCCGCGCUGCAUUAGCUAGUUGGUAAGGUAACGGCUUACCAAGGCAACGAUGCAUAGCCGACCUGAGAGGGUGAUCGGCCACACUGGAACUGAGACACGGUCCAGACUCCUACGGGAGGCAGCAGUAGGGAAUCUUCCGCAAUGGGCGAAAGCCUGACGGAGCAACGCCGCGUGAGUGAUGAAGGUCUUCGGAUCGUAAAACUCUGUUAUUAGGGAAGAACAUAUGUGUAAGUAACUGUGCACAUCUUGACGGUACCUAAUCAGAAAGCCACGGCUAACUACGUG
rnacentral:rRNA from 1 species